rnacentral:rRNA from 1 species
AUGGAGGGCAACAUCAGUGUCGUCGUUCCUCAUCAGAACCUCGGCGACCUCUGCAGGCGUCACCGUCACCUCCUGGAUCAGCGCCUCAAUCUCUGGGUAGGUGGCAUGGUAGUUGAUGGAAUGGUAGUUGUUGGCAAGGAUUCGGAAGGCCUCCGUGGUGCAGUACCCCAUGUGGAUGUGCAUGUCCAUCCUGCCAGGCCGCAGGAGUGCUGGGUCGAGACGCUCCUUGUAGUUGGUGGUGAAGAUGAUGAUCCUUUCCUCCCCAGUUGUCGACCACAAGCCAUCAACAAAAUUGAGCAGCCCAGACAAUGUGACCUGUUAUGCAGACAGCAACCAAAUUAA